rnacentral:rRNA from 1 species
CGCAUCUGUGCAUGCAGCAUAUCAAUAAGCGGAGGAAAAGAAACUAACAAGGAUUCCCUUAGUAACGGCGAGUGAAGCGGGAAGAGCUCAAAUUUGAAAUCUUCAAGGUUUUACCUUGACGAAUUGUAGUUUAAAGAAGUGUUUUCUGUUGAAGUUUUGGUAAAAGUUCUUUGGAAUAGGACAUCAUAGAGGGUGAGAAUUCCGUAUUUGACCAUUAUUUUCAGCUGUGUGAUACACUUUCAAAGAGUCGGAUUGUUUGGGAAUGCAGUCCAAAAUGGGUGGUAAAUUUCAUCUAAAGCUAAAUAUUGGCGAGAGACCGAUAGCGAACAAGUACCGUGAGGGAAAGAUGAAAAGAACUUUGAAAAGAGAGUUAAACAGUACGUGAAAUUGUCAAAAGGGAAGCGUUUGACACCAGUGUUGUUUUCUCGAAAAUCAAUUAAAAAGAGUUAGAUUUUGUUGUGUAUUGACCUUAACAGCUUGCAUUUCAAUUUUCUUGCCUUUUUUAAUGCACUUUUCGUUUAACAAGUCAACAUCAGUUUCUUUUGUUGUAAAAAGGUCAUUGGAAGGUGGCUUUCUUUUCGGAGAAAGUGUUUAUAGCCUUUGACUCCUGCAAUCGGAGAGACUGAGGUCUGCAGCGUAGAUCCUUCGGGGUUAGAUACAUUUGUGCUAAGUUAUAGCUUUUUAUAGACAACUUGUUGACUAUGAUUAGUCUUGUAGCUUACUCGCUUAUGCUAUUUUACCUACGCUUAGGAUGUUGAUGUGAUACUGCGAGCA